rnacentral:rRNA from 1 species
GACGAACGCUGGCGGCGUGCUUAACACAUGCAAGUCGAACGAUGAAGCCUUCGGGUGGAUUAGUGGCGAACGGGUGAGUAACACGUGGGCAAUCUGCCCUGUACUUUGGGAUAAGCCUGGGAAACUGGGUCUAAUACCGGAUAUCACCUUCCCUCGCAUGGGGGUUGGUUGAAAGUUCUGGCGGUACAGGAUGAGCCCGCGGCCUAUCAGCUUGUUGGUGGGGUAAUGGCCUACCAAGGCGACGACGGGUAGCCGGCCUGAGAGGGUGACCGGCCACACUGGGACUGAGACACGGCCCAGACUCCUACGGGAGGCAGCAGUGGGGAAUAUUGCACAAUGGGCGAAAGCCUGAUGCAGCGACGCCGCGUGAGGGAUGACGGCCUUCGGGUUGUAAACCUCUUUCGCCAGGGACGAAGCGCAAGUGACGGUACCUGGAUAAGAAGCACCGGCUAACUACGUGCCAGCCGCCGCGGUAACAC